ensembl:lncRNA
AUAACUGAGAAGGAGAGAAAAUAACUGAGGAGGAGAGACAAUAACUGAAGAGGAGAGAAAAUAACUGAGAAGGAGAGAAAAUAACUGAGGAGGAGAGACAAUAACUGAAGAGGAGAGAAAAUAACUGAGGAGGAGAGAAAAUAACUAAGGCGGAGAGAAAAUAACUGAGGAGGAGAGAAAAUAACUAAGGCGGAAAGAAAAUAACUGAGGAGGAGAGAAAAUAACUGGGGAGGAGAUAAAAUAACUAUGGUGCAGAGAAAAUAACUGAGGAGGAGAGGAAAUAACUGAGGAGGAGUGGAAAUAACUGAGGAGGAGAGAAAAUAACUGAGAGAGAGAAAAUAACUGAAGAGCAGAGAAAAUAACUGGGGAGGAGAGAAAAUAACUAAGGUGGAGAGAAAAUAACUGAGGAGGGGAGAAAAUAAAUGAGGAGGAGAGAAAUUAACAGAGGAGAGAAAAUAACUGAGGAGGAGAGAAAAUAACUGAGAGGAGAGAAAAUAACAGAGGAGAGAAAAUAAAUGAGGAGGAGAGAAAAUAACCGAGGAGGAGAGAAAAUAACUGAGGAGGAGAGAAAAUAAAUGAAGAGUAGAAAAAAUUAACUGAGGAGGAGAGAAAAUAACCGAGGAGGAGAGAAAAUAACUGAAGAGUAGAAAAAAAUAAAUGAAGAGGAGAGAAAAUAACCGAGGAGGAGAGACAAUAACCAAGGAGGAGAGAAAAUAACUGAGGAGGAGAGAAAAUAACUGAGGAGGAGAGAAAAUAACUCGGGAGGAGAGAAAAUAACCGAGGAGAGAAAAUACGUGAGGAGGACAGAAAAUAACCGAGGAGGAGAGAAAAUAACCAAGGAGGAGAGAAAAUAAAUGAGGAGGAGAGAAAAUAACCCGGGAGGAGAGAAAAUAACCGAGGAGAGAAAAUAACCGAGGAGGAGAUAAAAUAACGGAGGAGAAGAGAAAAUAACCGAGGAGGAGAGAAAAUAACCGAGAUAGAGAGAAAAUAACCGAGGAGGAGAGAAAAUAACUGAGGAGGGGAGAAAAUAAAUGAGGAGGAUUGAAAAUAACGGAGGAGUGAAAAUAACCAAGGAGGAGAGAAAAUAACCGAGAUAGAGAGAAAAUAACCGAGGAGGAGAGAAAAUAACCGAGGAGGAGAGAAAAUAACUGAAGAGGAGAGAAAAUAACUGGAGGAGAGAAAAUAACUGAGGCGGGGAGAAAAUAACUAAAGAGUAGAAAAAAAUAAAUGAAGAGGAGAGAAAAUAACCGAGGAGGAGAGACAAUAACCAAGGAGGAGAGAAAAUAAAUGAGGAGGAGAGAAAAU